CUUCAUUAUUCGCUAUGUAAUGUUGGUUUGGCUUGCGUUGGAUCUUAAGCUUCAUAUUCGGGUUGGUAAAGUUCUAUGAUUUUGAGGACAAUCAAAGCCUCGAUGGAGGUGUUUCAUGUGCAUUACUAUGGUGGACUACUAUGUUCCCUUGUCAUUCGAACAGGUAAUGGGGGUAGGGGCCUAGGGCUUCCAUGAAGAAGAAGCUGAUUUCGGAAAAAGUUGGAUAACCAUGGGAAGCUGAAUGCGAGCAAUCCAGCCGAGUGGUCAAGGAGUGUGGUGGUUCUUCCCAGGGAAGGGGAUUCUGUGGUUGCUGGCCUUGCUUUUGUGAGUAAAGCGGUAACAGUGGUUGCAGAGGUUACCAUAGUGGAGGGAGAAAAGAAAAAGAAGAAAAAACAUAAGGAUAAGGAAGAUGGUGAGGUGGGGCGUAAGAGGAAAUUGGAGGAGGUUGAUGGUAGGCUGGUAGCCGUGCACCACAUGUUGUGAAGAGGGUGAAAGCUGAUGGAGAUGAGGAAACAGUAUUCGUGAAAAAGGAAUUGCAUUGAAGAAAGAAAAGAACAAAGAACAAAGAACAAAGAACAAAGAACAAAGAG